UUUGUACUCACCAAGUGGCUUUUGUACAAAGACCUCAUAAGGCAAAGAACUGCAAAGAAUACCCAUUUUCAUUUUAGGCAGAUAACAGCUAAAUCAGAAAGAAGAGGCCAGAAUAGAGUUUAAAUUGUUGACACCAACGAUGAACAUUGAGUGAGAAGUCCUUGGGAAAAGUGAAAAAUAAGUGGGUGGAGAAAGACAUGCCAGAUACUGAUUUUGCAAAUUCCUUUAAGAAUUGUGAUUUGAUUCUUCAGAAAAUUCAGCACAAAUGAGGCUCUUGUAUGAGAGACUCAUUGGCCUAUUUUCUGAAGUGUUGAAGCCUCAUCCUUCUCAGGAAGAGCAUCCAGAUCCUCAGUUUUCCUGCUACAAAUGGAGAAGAAUACAUGAAUCCUGGCCCUUGUCCUGGGAAAGAGAGUCUCUAAAGAUGGUCCACUCUGCUCCAUUCUGCUCUGUAUGUAUAUGCAGCUCCUCUCAUAUUGGAAACUACACUGCAUCUGUAACUACUUUGACUGAGAAGAUGUGGAAAAGUGACCUUCUGGGACUUCUGAGCAAGUUCUCCUGGCUGUUGUGAACGCCGUGGUGCACAGAGAAUGAUGGAUGGAAGUGAUGGAGUCACUAAUAAGCCCUUGGACCCCCAUGGCCUGCUGCACACACAGAGAAUAGAGGUUUGAUUCUCUUUUUUGGUUUCUGGCCACCACCAUCCUGGCAGGAAGUGAAAAGGGGCUAGUUUUAUAAUGUAAUUUGUUCCACAAAUAAAGAAAGUACAAGAGACUUCAGAUCUAUGAAUUCAGAAUUUCUCAAAUGAAAAUGAAAUGCUACUAACUGAUGAUGUCCUUAAGGUGAAGCAGAUCUAGCUGAUUUGCAUAGAACAACAACAAAAAGAUUGCAGAUCCUACUUUCUUAUAUGGGCUCCAUCAUCACAGCAUCAUCCAGGAAGAGUGUAAGAUCCAGGGCCUGAUGAUACAGUUUCUGAUACACAACCUGCCCAGUGAUUUUGUCUGCAUAUUUCCCUUCCUCUGUGAAUGGGGUUGGCAACUACACCCACCAAGAAGUGACAGCAGUCGAUAGCUAGAAUAUUAAAGUCUGAUGUGUGUGACUAGGGUUCAAUGAAAAUACAUCAGGAAAGAUGAAACCCUUCCAAUUCAGUUGCACAUAUUGCUCUGCAAUUUUCAAAACCAAAAUACCCUGAGUCUCUAUUGAAACACAUUGCAGUGUCCCAUCACCCGUGGCUUUCAGAAUGUGAUCUGACAUUGUUUUCUCCAUUUCCCAUUUUCUCAGUUAAAUGGGAAGCAUAUUUGUAAAUGAUAUUUAUUUUGCUGUGAGUAAGGUUUGGAUUCCUUUCUCCUUCAUAGAUGUGUGCUUUACCUCUGCCCUCUCUUAAUGUAUUUCUAUGAAGUACAUAAAAAUGGGGCUCCAAAUCCAGACAAGCAUCUUCUUAGUUAUCAUGAUGAAGACAGGGAUGGGAAAUGUAUGUUGCUAAAAUGACCUUUAACCAUUUUUUACAUAAUUAUCUCUAUUUAUCCAUGUAGAAUUUUCUACCUCCCCUCUCAUUCUAAUUCUGUUAGAUGAUAAGGAUCUUGUUGCGUGUAGGAGAAGGAUACUUGAUAAAGGAAGCAGAUAGUUCUACCUUUUCCUACAUCUUUUCCAUAGUUCUAGCACUUUCUCUUUACAUUUCUCCCCUCUAUAGUCCUGAAAAUGAGAUCUUUGGGCAGCAUGAGGUGAAAGACUCCUUAUGUGGUGGUAGGUGGAGCCUAGUCAACAUUGAAUGAUGCAUAAAGCAUUGACUUUGAAUAAUGUGUGCAACUUGACAUCUGUGUGCUUUGGGGUCAAUAACCUACAUUUUCUGAGCCUCAAUUACCAUCCUUAAAAUAAGAAUAUUAUAGAAUAUGAUAAUUCAAAGCAAUUAAAGGAAAUAAUCCAUGCAGAGCACCCAUUUCUAAGAAAAGUAAGAAACAGAUGUGGGGGGUCACUUAACUCAUCUGUCAUCUACAUUCCUUCAUAAUAAAAUUAAGAUAUUCAAAUAAUUAAUGCUGUAUACUUUACUGGGCCUGGGCCUAAACUUUUGCUUCAUGGAGUAUUCAUUUCAAUCCUAGGAAGUUAUAUCAUGAAUGUUUCUGACAGAUUAGGAAACUGAAGCUUACCAAAAUAAAUUAGGUGCCCUAAAUUAGGCUGAAACUAUUUGAUUUCAGAGGGCUGCUCUCACUUGCAAGUUUUAUAGACAUAGCUAUCCUACCUAAUAGACAAAUAAGACGUGUACUUUGGUGAAGUCUCUUAAGGAUGAGGGAGACAGAAUCAUGCCAUAUAAACAAUGACAUACUUUAAAAAUAUUGGCAAAUUUAUCUCAAAAUUAUGUAAAACCAUCUUAUGCAAAAGUGAGAGUUUACCUUCCAUGAAAAUAAGAAUAUUUGGAAGACCAUCUUAAUUGAUAACUGUUAUGAAUUGAAACUUUUUUCAAGAAUGCAUUUUGUUUUUUGCAUCUGUUUUUUUUCAUAAAUUAUAUAAUAGCAUAUACCAAAGUUCUUUGAAAAGUAUAAAGGCUGCAGAGUUUCCAUUGUUGCUAAAUGAUAAUGAGCCCAAUGAAAAUCCAUGAGGAUGCAGGUUCAAUCCCUGGCCUUGCUCAGUGGGUUAACGAUCUGGUGUUGCUGUAGUGUAGGUUGCAGAUGCAGCUCAAAUCCAGUGUUACUGUGGCUGUGGCAUAGGCCAGCAGCUGUAGCUAUGAUUUGACCCCUAACCUGGGAACUUCCAUAUGUCACUGGUGUGGCCUUAAAAAAAAAAGUAGAAUGCUUAAUGUAUGUAUCAUUUAAAUCAAUGGCCUACUUGCCCGUAGGUAAUUUUGAAUCACCUCAGCUCUUCUGUAUUGCCAUUGCUGAAGAAAAAAAAUAUUGUAUCAUUCUUUUCAUAGAUUAUCACAGAAUAUUGUGUAGAGAAUCUGAAAGAGAAUGGAUGUGUGUACAUGUAUAACUGAAUCAAUUUAUUGUACAGCAGAAGAUAUCACCACAUGUACGUCAACUGUACUUCAAUAAAACUUUUAAAAA
ensembl:lncRNA